AUAGAAUAGUAUAGCUACCUCUUCUAAAACCUUGAAGACAGUGAGAUAUAAUUGUUGCUACAUGCCAUCAAGUCACAUUUGACUUUUAACAUCACUAAAUGGUAGGCUUUCCUUGUGGAUGAUUUCUUGGUAUGAUGAAGAAUGUUCAUUAAUGAGGGAGAAUCCUCCACGCUGCCAGAGGCAGAACAGACGGACAACAACUUUGAGAAGAGGGAACGGCGGAAAAAGGUAGGUAAGAGUCUUGGGCCAACGGCCGACAAACACGUCUCCCUGGGAAUGUUUUCCUAUUCCUGCUCAGGAGCAAUA